CUGAAGGGUACAGAAAUGAAUUGGCUAUGAAGACUUAGGAAAAGUUUCAAGGAUGCAGAUGUCCCUCCCUGAGCCAGAGACAACCUGAGUGACAGCCCCAAACCCCUUCCCUCCAAUGAUCGAAGCUUUGUUUUGGGAUCCAGCUGCUUCUGCCUAGCUGCCUUGCCCCUCUGGACAAGUCCUCACCCAAGAAGCCCUGGGACUAUCACAUAGAGACAGC
rnacentral:lncRNA from 1 species